GCUACGGGUGGCAGCAGUGAGGAAUAUUGGUCAAUGGGCGCGAGCCUGAACCAGCCAAGUAGCGUGAAGGAUGACUGCCCUACGGGUUGUACACUUCUUUUAUAAAGGAAUAAAGUGAGGCACGUGUGCCUUUUUGUAUGUACUUUAUGAAUAAGGAUCGGCUAACUCCGUGCCAGCAGCCGCGGUAAUACGGAGGAUCCAAGCGUUAUCCGGAUUUAUUGGGUUUAAAGGGUGCGCAGGCGGAAUGUCAAGUCAGCGGUAAAAUUUCGGGGCUCAACCCCGUCGUGCCGUUGAAACUGGCGUUCUUGAGUGAGCGAGAAGUAUGCGGAAUGCGUGGUGUAGCGGUGAAAUGCAUAGAUAUCACGCAGAACUCCGAUUGCGAAGGCAGCAUACCGGCGCUCAACUGACGCUCAUGCACGAAAGCGUGGGUAUCGAACAGGAUUAGAUACCCUUGUAGUC
rnacentral:rRNA from 1 species